CAAGUUGAAGAUUAGGUUAAGGGGUUUGUUUGUCUGGUUCAAGGUCGCCACACAGCAGGGAAAACCCAUUUCGCCUUGAAGCAUGCACCAUGAUGGGUGUACCUGUUGGUGAUCUCGGACCAGGCUUCAAUCCCUUUAACUAGCGUCUGCAUAU
rnacentral:pre_miRNA from 1 species